rnacentral:rRNA from 1 species
UACAGAGGUCUCAAGCGUUUGUUCGGAUUCAUUGGGCGUAAAGGGUGUGUAGGUGGCGCGCUAAGUCGGGGUGUGAAAUUUCGGAGCUUAACUCCGAAACUGCAUUCGAUACUGGCGUGCUUGAGGACUGGAGAGGAGACUGGAAUUUACGGUGUAGCAGUGAAAUGCGUAGAUAUCGUAAGGAAGACCAGUGGCGAAGGCGGGUCUCUGGACAGUUCCUGACACUGAGACACGAAGGCCAGGGGAGCAAACGGG